GAGGGUAUAGCUCAAGUGGUAGAGUGAAUGUUUAUCAUGAACAAGGUCCUGGGUUUGAGCCCCAGUACCUCCU
rnacentral:tRNA from 1 species